UACGUAGGGGGCUAGCGUUGUCCGGAAUCAUUGGGCGUAAAGAGCGUGUAGGCGGUCCGGUAAGUCCGCUGUGAAAGUCGGGGGCUCAACCCUCGAAAGCCGGUGGAUACUGCAUGGCUAGAGUACGGAAGAGGCGAGUGGAAUUCCUGGUGUAGCGGUGGAAUGCGCAGAUAUCAGGAGGAACACCAAUAGCGAAGGCAGCUCGCUGGGACGUUACUGACACUGAGGCGCGACAGCGUGGGGAGCAAACAGG
rnacentral:rRNA from 1 species